UCUUCAAUUCCAUAUUAUCAUAUCCAAAAUAGAGAUAAACAUGAAGACCCAUGAAGCUUUAUCAAUUGUGAUGGUUUGUUUGGUUUUAGGGUUUUUUGUCAGACCAACCUUUGCAAAGUUCUCUGAUUGUUAUAACAAGUGCUACGAUAAUUGUGUUCGAAAAUCUAAACCUGUUGAGUUUUGCAUAAUUAAGUGUUUAGCAAAAUGUACAACUCCAUCAGAGAUUAGCGAUUGUGCGAAAACUAAAUGUAUCAAUAUUAGUAUCAAUGAUGAUUCAGCUUCGGACAAAAUGGAAGCUUGCCUGAAGACAUGCACUCAAACUGACAAGAACUGAUCGAUCACCUCACCAAGAGCAGUUGUUGAUUAUGGUUACUAAAUGAUAAUUGUUUUGUUAUAUUACGAAUAAUAUUAUAAAUAAAAUCUUUAUCUUUAUUUAUGAAUCAA